GACGAACGCUGGCGGCGUGCCUAAUACAUGCAAGUAGAACGCACAGUUUAUACCGUAGCUUGCUACACCAUAAACUGUGAGUUGCGAACGGGUGAGUAACGCGUAGGUAACCUGCCUGGUAGCGGGGGAUAACUAUUGGAAACGAUAGCCAAUACCGCAUAAUAUUGAUUAUUGCAUGAUAAUUGAUUGAAAGAUGCUAUUGCAUCACUACCAGAUGGACCUGCGUUGUAUUAGCUAGUAGGUGAGGUAACGGCUCACCUAGGCGACGAUACAUAGCCGACCUGAGAGGGUGAUCGGCCACACUGGGACUGAGACACGGCCCAGACUCCUACGGGAGGCAGCAGUAGGGAAUCUUCGGCAAUGGACGAAAGUCUGACCGAGCAACGCCGCGUGAGUGAAGAAGGUUUUCGGAUCGUAAAGCUCUGUUGUAAGAGAAGAACGGGUGUGAGAGUGGAAAGUUCACACUGUGACGGUAUCUUACCAGAAAGGGACGGCUAACUACGUG
rnacentral:rRNA from 1 species